CGGCGAGUGGCGGACGGGUGAGUAAUACAUGGGAAUCUGCCCGGUAGUGGGGGACAACCAGGGGAAACUCUGGCUAAUACCGCAUACGUCCUACGGGAGAAAGUGGGGGACCUUCGGGCCUCACGCUAUCGGAUGAGCCCAUGUCGGAUUAGCUUGUUGGUGAGGUAACGGCUCACCAAGGCUGCGAUCCGUAGCCGGCCUGAGAGGGUGGCCGGCCACACUGGGACUGAGACACGGCCCAG
rnacentral:rRNA from 1 species